CCUACGGGUGGCAGCAGUGAGGAAUAUUGGUCAAUGGGCGCGAGCCUGAACCAGCCAAGUAGCGUGAAGGAUGACUGCCCUACGGGUUGUAAACUUCUUUUAUAAAGGAAUAAAGUGAGGCACGUGUGCCUUUUUGUAUGUACCUUAUGAAUAAGGAUCGGCUAACUCCGUGCCAGCAGCCGCGGUAAUACGGAGGAUCCGAGCGUUAUUCGGAUUUAUUGGGUUUAAAGGGAGCGUAGAUGGGUUGUUAAGUCAGGGGUGAAAGUGUGGGGCUCAAACGUCAAAUUGCGAUUGAUACUGGCAGCCUUGAGUACAGUUGAGGUAGGCGGAAUUCGUGGUGUAGCGGUGAAAUGCUUAGAUAUCACGAAGAACUCCGAUUGCGAAGGCAGCUUACCAA
rnacentral:rRNA from 1 species